rnacentral:rRNA from 1 species
GACGAACCGAGCGAACGUUAUUCGGAAUCACUGGGCUUAAAGGGCGCGUAGGCGGGCGAUCAAGUCAAGGGUGAAAGCCCCGGCUCAACCGGGGAAGUGCCUCUGAUACUGGUCGCCUCGAGGGAGGUAGGGGCGUGCGGAACUUCCGGUGGAGCGGUGAAAUGCGUAGAUAUCGGAAGGAACACCGGUGGCGAAAGCGGCGCGCUGGACCUCUUCUGACGCUGAGGCGCGAAAGCCAGGGGAGCGAACGGG